rnacentral:rRNA from 1 species
UACGGAGGAUGCAAGCGUUAUCCGGAUUUAUUGGGUUUAAAGGGUGCGCAGGUUGUUUGAUAAGUCAGUGGUGAAAGUCUGUCGCUUAACGGUAGGAUUGCCAUUGAUACUGUUAGACUUGAAUAUGGAUGAGGUAGGCGGAAUGUGUAGUGUAGCGGUGAAAUGCAUAGAUAUCACGAGGAACUCCGAUUGCGCAGGCAGCUUACUAAACUACUACUGACGCUCAUGCACGAAGGCGUGGGGAUCAAACAGGA